rnacentral:rRNA from 1 species
UACAGAGGUCUCAAGCGUUGUUCGGAUUUACUGGGCGUAAAGGGCGCGUAGGCGGCAAAUUAAGUCAGCUGUGAAAUCUCCGAGCUUAACUCGGAACUGUCAGCUGAUACUGAUGUGCUAGAGUGCGGAAGGGGCAAUCGGAAUUCUUGGUGUAGCGGUGAAAUGCGUAGAUAUCAAGAGGAACACCUGAGGUGAAGACGGGUUGCUGGGCCGACACUGACGCUGAGUGCGCGAAAGCCAGGGGAGCAAACGGG